GCCGGCGUAGCCCAAUGGUAGGGCGUUGCUUUCCUAAGUUUGUCAUAAUCGCAAAUCAAGCAGAGGUUGCGGGUUCGAGUCCCGCCGUUGGUU